UUGUGUCACCGUGAUUUCUUCAUGCAGUUAAUGUUACUGAAAAGCCACAGGUAUUCUGAGCUAUGUCAUUUAAAAUGUCUGGACCCCUGAAAGAUCCCUGGAUGGAGCAAAACCAGCCGAAGAUUAAAGGAGCCAUGAAGUUACCAGUAAAGUGAAAGAAAACAGGCCAGCAAAGAAAACAGUAUUAACAGUCACUGAGGAAAGACAACCAUCAUAAGAAGUUUCUUUAAUAAAUAAUUACAAAAGUGAAAAUUACUCUUGAGAAAGGAGGGAUACCAUGAGGACUAACCACUUAUGAGUGUCAGAAUCAUUUGAGAAAGCACCAGAUUUUGAGGCAUGAGACCCUGCCAUCUAGAGUUUUUUUCCAUCCCUGAAUUUAAUUCUGAGAGAAGGCAGAGGCAUAUUCCAGAAACCAAGAGCAACAGCAGAAGCAUUUCUCAAAAAAGGAUGCAAACUGAGAUACUAGUAAGAACCAAUGACUGCUACCAAUCUAAGGAAGAGAGAUGCUCAGAAGCCAACAGUGUA